AAGGGAAAGAAGAUUCUAAAGAAAGCUGCUAACUAUUCUUUAUAAGCGGUUAAAUUCCGUUAUUCCCUUAA
rnacentral:tRNA from 1 species